GAAGCACGAAAAAACAACAAAAAACUUAUUUUGGGAGCUGACGUGCCAAUCUUAACCAAUAUUACUUAUGUAAAAGGACAUUUCACUGAUGUACGGAUGUGCACUUCGCAGACGGACUGACGCGGAUACGAAUAGCUUGAAUACACUGUGCGAUCAAGUCUGGUUCGGAUGACCGACUGGUUUUACGAUUCCAUCAGUCGCCAACCGACGUUAACCUCACGUGAGUGGAGAGGAUAUCACCGCGGCUAUGGACCAGCAUCCGACUCGUCGAUCUACACUUUCGGCCAUCUUGCUGGUGCUUUUUGGGGGCAACGCAUCACCAUUUGUCGUGCCGUUACUUGCUGUAGCAGCUGAAUAUCGUUUGUGAUCACAAUUGCAAGCUGUGCUGUGAUUGGUCAGGCGACCGAAUGUUCAACCAAUCGCUAUGAAGAUUAUCAGGAUUUUAACCACAGUACGACGCCGACUGCCAUGGAUUACGUGUUACCGAGUUAAACUCUUGAGUAUUUUUGUACUUGUUGGGCUAUUUGUAACCUAUCUGCACAUAAGUCUAUUACCGAGAAGCAUGGGUUACUAUAACAACGCAUGCAUCCUCAACCAAACUCAGAAGGAAGACAUGUGGUAUUUGCUACGCCACGUUACCCGCGCAUUCGGAGAACUCAACGUCACUUAUUGGAUAGAUUACGGCACGCUCUUAGGCGCUGUUCGACUUGAAGAUAUUUUGCCGCAUGAUGGAGAUAUUGAUAUUGGUAGGUUCAUGCACAGUUUGAAUGAGGACGGGACUAUGGAAUUUUAUUUUACGAAAAAAAUGAAUGAAGUCGGUAUCAAAGCAAGUGGAAUGACGGCAAAAUAUAAAACAGCUGAAGCCGAUUUAUUUAGAUGGACAUUUUUAGAAAAUUCGACAAAUGGACGCCGUUUUUUAGUCAAAUGGUAUCCUUUCAUACCAUUGGAAAGUUUAGCUGAAAAAUGGUAUAACUAUCACUUUCCUCCUCAAAUACCUGUUGAUGUUAUUUUGCCAACAAAAGAUAUACGUAUACAUGGAUAUUCUGUCCAGGCUCCAAAUAACCCGACAGCCUUAUUGAAAAUCCGGUACCCAUUUACAUGGUUUUUAACAUUUCCUUACAAGUGGAAGUGUUGGAUUUGAAGAUAUAACGAGAGAGAGAAAGAGAGAGAGGGGGGGGG